GAUGAAGAACGUAGCAAAAUGCGAUAAGUAAUGUGAAUUGCAGAAUUCAGUGAAUCAUCGAAUCUUUGAACGCACAUUGCGCCCGCUGGUAUUCCGGCGGGCAUGCCUGUUCGAGCGUCAUUUCAACCCUCAAGCCCCCGGGUUUGGUGUUGGGGAUCGGCUCUGCCCUUCUGGGCGGUGCCGCCCACGAAAUACAUUGGCGGUCUCGCUGCAGCCUCCAUUGCGUAGUAGCUAACACCUCGCAACUGGAACGCGGCGCGGCCAUGCCGUAAAACCCCAACUUCUGAAUGUUGACCUCGGAUCAGGUAGGAAUACCCGCUGAACUUAAGCAUAUCAAUAAGCGGAGGA
rnacentral:misc_RNA from 1 species